ensembl:lncRNA PPIEL peptidylprolyl isomerase E like (pseudogene)
CCUCCCAAAGUGCUGUGAUUACAGGUGUGAGCCACUGCACCUGGCCUCUUCAUAUCUUACAACGAAAAGCACCAAGGAUUCUCUUUUGUUGAAUUUGAGUUGGCAGAGGAUGUUGCAGCAGCUGUCAACAACAUGUUUGGUCAGAUGAAGACUGGGUGGAGAAGUUUGCUGGGAAGAGGAUAAAGAGGAAGGUGGUUGAGACUUCCCAAAGCAGAAAGCCAGGAGGUGAGAAAUAUCUUAUGUGGGCUCAGGUAUUUGUGAUUGCUGCUGAGCAAGGCGGAUAUCUGAGGUGAGAAAGGAUGCGCAGCCCAUUUACUGCCUUCUCCAGGAAGCUUUUCUGAAUCCUCCAGUGAGUAAGGGAGAGCCCACUGCUAAAAAAGGCCUAGUCAAAUCCUCAGGUGUACAUGGACAUCAAGAUUGGGAACAAGCCGGCUGGCUGCAUCCAAACCCUCCUGCGUUCCGACGUCGUGCCCAUGACCACAGAGAAUUUUCUCUACAUGUGCACCCAUUUAAAGGACUCGGCUUCAAGGGAAGCAGCUUCCACCGCAUUAUCCCCCAGUUCAUUUGCCAGGGCAGUGAUUUCACAAACCACGGUGGCACCAGGGGUCUGCGCAGGCAUGGCACUAAGUGUCCCAUGGCACAUUUGGCCCUCAUGGAGGCCUCAAAAGGGCAGGACCAGCACCCUCUUCUACGGAGGAAGGAACGGGCACAGCAGGUUGCCCCAGACACCAAGGCAUCAAAAGCCAGGGGAUCCAGAGAAAACACAGACAGCCAAGAGAGAAACUGCGGGAAAAAGCCAAAAGGUUGAGAGCCACACCAUCUAGAAGCUUCCUGCCUGUGGUGCGGCACAGAAACAAGGAGAGUCAGCAAUUACCAGCCAGCCAAGGUCCUGGAAGCUGACGUAGAGCUCGUGCCGACGGCAGACCUGCCGGCCGUGGGAGCCGCGGACGUCAUCUGCAGGGACAGAAGGGGCAAGGUCUUUUCUGGGGUUCCUGCUGUGUGCAGCUACUAUGGGGUACCAGGGUGGGGGAUGCCCUGAUGAGCACAUUUGUCAAAUAAAUGAAUGACAG